rnacentral:rRNA from 1 species
GACGAACGCUGGCGGCGUGCUUAACACAUGCAAGUCGAACGAAGUGGCGAACGGGUGAGUAACGCGUACUCAACCUGCCCUUCAGAGGGGGACAACAGUUAGAAACGACUGCUAAUACCGCAUACUGAAGGAGGGGAUUGCGUCUGAUUAGCUAGUGGGGGGGGUAACGGCCCACCAAGGAGAUGAUCAGUAGCCGGUCUGAGAGGAUGAUCGGACACAUUGGGACUGAGACACGGCCCAGACUCCUACGGGAGGCAGCAGUGGGGAAUCUUCCGCAAUGGACGAAAGUCUGACGGAGCAACGCCGCGUGAGUGAAGAAGGUUUUCGGAUCGUAAAACUCUGUUGUUAGAGAAGCGGUAUCUAACCAGAAAGCCACGGCUAACUACGUGCCAGCAGCCGCGGUAAUAC